UUCCUUCGUUAUCUUUUGUCCCAAUCACCACUUCUUCAACCAUCAUUUUUACCUAUCUCUCUCUCUCUCUCAUCGUGGUCUCACCACCUAUUCAUUUUUAUCGUUGUCUCACUUUACAUAGUCUUCAUGCGUUACUUUGUUAUCAGUUGAUGAUUUGAUAUGAUGUGACAAAAGGAGGAUCCACCGCUUUGAAGACACUGAAUACUACAACAUGUUAAUUUUUUGUUUCUUUAGGAGUGAUCUAGGGUUUGGGUUUUUUAGUUUCUUUUGUUUGUGUUUUGAAAAAUUAAAGUUUCAUUUCGGUUUCAC
rnacentral:lncRNA from 1 species